rnacentral:rRNA from 1 species
UGGCGGCAUGCCUACACAUGNCAGUCGAACGAGACCUUCGGGUCUAGUGGCGCACGGGUGCGUAACGCGUGGGAAUCUGCCCUUGGGUUCGGAAUAACAGUUGGAAACGACUGCUAAUACCGGAUGAUGACUUCGGUCCAAAGAUUUAUCGCCCAGGGAUGAGCCCGCGUAGGAUUAGCUUGUUGAUGAGGUAAAAGCUCACCAAGGCGACGAUCCUUAGCUGGUCUGAGAGGAUGAUCAGCCACACUGGGACUGAGACACGGCCCAGACUCCUACGGGAGGCAGCAGUGGGGAAUAUUGGACAAUGGGCGAAAGCCUGAUCCAGCAAUGCCGCGUGAGUGAUGAAGGCCUUAGGGUUGUAAAGCUCUUUUACCCGGGAUGAUAAUGACAGUACCGGGAGAAUAAGCCCCGGCUAACUCCGUGCCAGCAGCCGCGGUAAU